GGAUUCUUUACCAGCUGAGCCACGAGGGAAGCUGAGCUUCCAUAAGAAGUCGGGUGACAGCAAAGCCUUCAUUGAGACAGCAGAAGGAAGGCAGCAUGUGAAACGAUUCCUGCCACACAUGGACAUUUUUCUAAGGACGGGGCAGCGUCAGUGUCCUCGGCCACCUCACAGCUCUGAUGAGAGACUGCCUGGGGCGGGGCCCCGUCUACUCGUCUGUGAACUGUGAACAGUGCUGACCUUUCGGAUGGUUGAGGAGUAGGCCAGCUCCUGGCAGACGACGUGCACAUAGAUGCAGAGGCAACUGCAGAAAUCACGCAUGCGUGGCUCAAGUUCAUCCACACGGCCCACACGGAACCAGGGCAGAACCUCCAGCAGCAGACAGCAGAGGACUUGCCAACCUCGGGAAGGACUGCUGAGGGUGGUGACCAGGGGGCCAGCUGCUCUGAAGCUC